rnacentral:rRNA from 1 species
AGAUAGGCAUGCGUUCCAUUAGGCAGUUGGCGGGGUAACGGCCCACCAAACCGACGAUGGAUAGGGGUUCUGAGAGGAAGGUCCCCCACAUUGGUACUGAGACACGGACCAAACUCCUACGGGAGGCAGCAGUGAGGAAUAUUGGUCAAUGGGCGCGAGCCUGAACCAGCCAAGUCGCGUGAGGGAUGAAGGUUCUAUGGAUCGUAAACCUCUUUUAUAAGGGAAUAAAGUGUGGGACGUGUCCUAUUUUGUAUGUACCUUAUGAAUAAGGAUCGGCUAACUCCGUGCCAGCAGCCGCGGUAAUACGGAGGAUCCGAGCGUUAUCCGGAUUUAUUGGGUUUAAAGGGUGCGUAGGCGGCCUUUUAAGUCAGCGGUGAAAGUCUGUGGCUCAACCAUAGAAUUGCCGUUGAAACUGGGGGGCUUGAGUAUGUUUGAGGCAGGCGGAAUGCGUGGUGUAGCGGUGAAAUGCUUAGAUAUCACGCAGAACCCCGAUUGCGAAGGCAGCCUGCCAAGCCAUGACUGACGCUGAUGCACGAAAGCGUGGGGAUCAAACAGGAUUAGAUACCCUGGUAGUCCACGCAGU